CCUACGGGUGGCUGCAGUGAGGAAUAUUGGUCAAUGGGCGCUAGCCUGAACCAGCCAAGUAGCGUGAAGGAUGACUGCCCUAUGGGUUGUAAACUUCUUUUAUCUGGGAAUAAAGUGCAGUAUGUAUACUGCUUUGCAUGUACCUUAUGAUUAAGGUUCGGCUAACUCCGUGCCAGCAGCCGCGGUAAUACGGAGGAUUCGAGCGUUAUCCGGAUUUAUUGGGUUUAAAGGGGGCGUAGGCGGGUUGUUAAGUCAGUUGUGAAAGUUUGCGGCUGAACCGUAAAAUUGCAGUUGAUACUGGCAGCCUAGAGUGCAGUAGAGGUAGGCGGAAUGCGUGGUGUAGCGGUGAAAUGCUUAGAUAUCACGAAGAACUCCGAUGGCGAAGGCAGCCUGCUGGACUGUAACUGACGCUGAUGCUCGAAAGUGUGGGUAGCAAACAGGAUUAGAUACCCCGGUAGUC
rnacentral:rRNA from 1 species